CUCAACUACUAGGGCCUGUGGGGGCUCAGGGCAGUGGGCAGUCCUGAAGUCCCCUUUUGUGCUGCCACUGAGGCUGCUGCUGCAGCAAGAUUCAGCCCUGGGUCGUAAAGAGAGGAAGUGCGGAAGAACCAGCUCUGAUGCAGAUUCCAUCCCAGUUUUGCCAUUCAGUAGCUGUGUGACCUUGGGCAUGCUAAGUUUCUGGCUUCUCAAUUGGAGUAACAACAAUACUCCAUUUAUGUUCAUAGACUAUUAUAAAAGCCAAAAUAAAAAUAACAGCAUGUGGGGACUUCCCUGGUGGUCCAGUGGUUAAGAAUCUCCCUCCCCCAAAAAAUAACCCACCUGCCAACGCAGGGGACACAGGUGUGAUCCCUGGCCCUGGAAGAUUCUGCAUACCUCAGAACAACUAAGCCUGUGCAGCAGCUACUGAAGCCCCCUCACCCCAGAGCCUGUGCUCCACAAAUAGAGAAGCCACCACAGUGAGAAGCCCAAGCACGACAAUGAAGAGUAAACCCCUGCUCACCACAGCUAGAGAAAGCCCGCGUGCAGCAAAGAAGACCCAGUGCAGCCAUAAAUAAAUAAAUAGUAAGAGCAUGAACCUGCAGAGUCAUAUAGAAAAGGCAGCCAGCAUUAUGAUUAAUGAUAUGUUUAAAAUUUUAUUUUAGUUGAUGUGAAUCAAAAUUGCACUGUGUGAAGACUUAGACCUGCCCCUUUGCCCAUGCACAGAUGCUGGCGUUCUGUGCUCUCUCAGAGCCCAACAGGAUUCAGCAAGGAUUCACCAGUGACACAGCAUAUAUUAAAUGUGUUCUCACAGCAGGUUGACAACGGUGGCCCAGCCUCUGUGCCAGGGAUUGGGGGAAGAUUAUGUUGCUGUCUGGGCAGAAACUAUCUUCCUUACGAAGAAAUCUGGCAGCAAACGGGCGACCAGGACUGAGUUCUGUGAUGUCUUCCCAGCUUGGCAGGCUCCUUGUGCCUUGCGGUUCCUGGACCAGAAGGGAAUGAACUCCGAUUGUGAUGGGCAUCUACCUCCUAUCUUAAUUUGUGAUGAGCUCCUGCUGAUCUUUCCAGUCACAUGUGGGAGGAACCACCACCAGAGUUGGGUCAUUUCCGCCUUCUGUAUAAGCUACCUCUUCUCCUGGGCUGUACCCGCCCCCUGCACCCUCCAUGCUCCUGGAGAAGCUCUGCCUCACCAGCGCAGAGGCCUUCCGUGGUGCACUCCUACUGCCCCCAGCCCUACUCCCAGUUCUGGCCUGGUUAUCAAGUGCUCCGAGCACACUGGACUUUGCAGCCCUGUAUUACAACAGUAAUCACACCUGCUAGGUCCCUUCCCGGAAUGUGAGCAUCCUGAAGAAAGGGAACUGUGUAAAAAUGCAUAUCCUACAGCCUAGCACAGUACACAUCCAUAAGAAUUCAAUAAAUGUAUACUGAAGGAAUAAACA
rnacentral:lncRNA from 1 species